CCAACAGGCCGGGUGGCCGCCGCUUCUCUUAUGAGGAGGGGAGGAAAGUCCGGGCUCCGAUGGACAAAGUGCUGGGUAACGCCCAGGGUUUUGGAAUUCUCCAAAGAUUCCAAAAUACGGAUAGUGGCACAGAAACAUACCGCCUCUGAUUCUUUUACAAGAAUCUAAUGGUCUAGUUGACCGAGGUAAGGUUGAAAUCGGAUGGUAAGAGCGUCCGGUCGACUACGGCAACGUAGCGAUGGCUAAACCCCACUUGGAGCAAGGCCGAAUAGGGGGAUCAUGAGAGUCCUACUCGUCCCCGGGUUGGCUGCUAGAUCAUGAUGGUAACAUCGCGCAUUGGUGCCAGGAUAUCAAGCGAUAUCUUGAUGGCUAGAUAGAUGGUCACCACCCUCCAGCCUAGAUUUUCUUUGUUGGACUGGGUACAGAACCCGGCUUAUAGGCCUGUUGGAUCU
rnacentral:RNase_P_RNA from 1 species